GAAAAAAAGCAAAGCAUGUAAAAUCACAGGUGCAUGUGAGCAAUUCCCUAUUUCAUAUUUACAAAUCUCUUUCUUUUUAAGUGAUUAUUUAACUACCUCAAGCAGUUGUUGUAAGUGGCGUUAGCAUCAGGCUCUAAUAUUCUUUCAAAUAUACGUUUCAAAUGGAAGUAGCAGCGGUGAUUAUACGUAAAUAUUCUGUUGUUAUAAAUGGUGAAUUUUUUUUUCUUGGACAUCUGAAAUUAGUGAUAUGCUUAAGUUUGAACUCUUA
rnacentral:misc_RNA from 1 species